rnacentral:rRNA from 1 species
AUUGAACGCUGGCGGCAUGCUUUACACAUGCAAGUCGAACGGCAGCGGGGGCUUCGGCCCGCCGGCGAGUGGCGAACGGGUGAGUAAUGCAUCGGAACGUGCCCAGUCGUGGGGGAUAACACAUCGAAAGAUGUGCUAAUACCGCAUACGUCCUGAGGGAGAAAGCGGGGGAUCUUCGGACCUCGCGCGAUUGGAGCGGCCGAUGUCGGAUUAGCUAGUUGGUGGGGUAAAAGCCCACCAAGGCGACGAUCCGUAGCGGGUCUGAGAGGAUGAUCCGCCACACUGGGACUGAGACACGGCCCAGACUCCUACGGGAGGCAGCAGUGAGGAAUAUUGGUCAAUGGACGCAAGUCUGAACCAGCCACGUCGCGUGAAGGAAGACGGCCCUACGGGUUGUAAACUUCUUUUAUACGGGAAUAAAGUGCCCCACGCGUGGGGUUUUGCAUGUACCGUAUGAAUAAGGAUCGGCUAACUCCGUGCCAGCAGCCGCGGUAAGUACGC